rnacentral:rRNA from 1 species
CCUACGGGAGGCAGCAGUGGGGAAUAUUGGACAAUGGGCGAAAGCCUGAUCCAGCAAUGCCGCGUGAGUGAUGAAGGCCUUAGGGUUGUAAAGCUCUUUUACCAGGGAUGAUAAUGACAGUACCUGGAGAAUAAGCUCCGGCUAACUCCGUGCCAGCAGCCGCGGUAAUACGGAGGGAGCUAGCGUUGUUCGGAAUUACUGGGCGUAAAGAGUACGUAGGCGGUUAUUCAAGUCAGAGGUGAAAGCCCGGGGCUCAACCCCGGAACUGCCUUUGAAACUAGAUAGCUAGAGUCUUGGAGAGGUUAGUGGAAUUCCGAGUGUAGAGGUGAAAUUCGUAGAUAUUCGGAAGAACACCAGUGGCGAAGGCGACUAACUGGACAAGUACUGACGCUGAGGUACGAAAGCGUGGGGAGCAAACAGGAUUAGAUACCCUGGUAGUCCACGCCGUAAACGAUGAUAACUAGUUGUUCGGGCACUUGGUGCCUGAGUGACGCAGCUAACGCAUUAAGUUAUCCGCCUGGGGAUACGGUCGCAAGAUUAAAACUCAAAUGAAUUGACGGNNGAGAGNGCGAGACGACGACGAGGAGAG